GACGUCCCUAGUUCGGAUUGUAGGCUGAAACUCGCCUGCAUGAAGUUGGAAUUGCUAGUAAUCGCGAAUCAGAAUGUCGCGGUGAAUGCGUUCCCGGGCCUUGUACACACCGCCCGUCACACCAUGAGAGUCGAUAACACCCGAAGCCUGUGAGCUAACCUUUUAGGAGGCAGCAGUCGAAGGUGGGGUUGAUGAUUGGGGUGAAGUCGUAACAAGGUAGC
rnacentral:rRNA from 1 species